GCAGCCGCCGCGGGAACACGUAGGUGGCAAGCGUUGUCCGGAAUUAUUGGGCGUAAAGGGCUCGCAGGCGGUUUCUUAAGUCUGAUGUGAAAGCCCCCGGCUCAACCGGGGAGGGUCAUUGGAAACUGGGAAACUUGAGUGCAGAAGAGGAGAGUGGAAUUCCACGCGUAGCGGUGAAAUGCGUAGAGAUGUGGAGGAACACCAGUGGCGAAGGCGACUCUCUGGUCUGUAACUGACGCUGAGGAGCGAAAGCGUGGGGAGCGAACAGGAUUAGAUACCCCAGUAGUCCCUGUCUCUUAUAC
rnacentral:rRNA from 1 species